AAGGGAAAAGUGUGGAAGAAGAAAGUGCACAAGCAGCAGGGAUGACUGCUGCCUGGAGAGGAUGGUCAGGAAAAGGCCAUUCAAAUGAGUUGGGGGCUUUCACAAGGAUUGGACUGAGGCUGGAGUCAGUGCAUCAAGAGCCACCACACACAGAUGGAUCCUGGACAGGGCUUCAGAUGUCGUAUUCCUCUUGUCAAGCCGCUCCUGAACAACAAACAACAUCAGAAGCGUCU